GUGCCGGCCGCUGCGGUAAUACGGGGGUGCAAGCGUUAAUCGGAAUUACUGGGCGUAAAGCGCACGCAGGCGGUCUGUCAAGUCGGAUGUGAAAUCCCCGGGCUCAACCCGGGAACUGCAUUCGAAACUGGCAGGCUUGAGUCUCGUAGAGGGGGUAGAAUUCCAGGUGUAGCGGUGAAAUGCGUAGAGAUCUGGAGGAAUACCGGUGGCGAAGGCGGCCCCCUGGACGAAGACUGACGCUCAGGUGCGAAAGCGUGGGAGCAAACAGGAUUAGAUACCCUGGUAGUCCACGCCGUAAACGAUGUCUAUUUGGAGGUUGUGCCCUUGAGGCGGUGGCUUCCGGAGCUAACGCGUUAAAUAGACCGCCUGGGGAGUACGGCCGCCAAGGUU
rnacentral:rRNA from 1 species